GCCUGGCUGGCUUAGUUGGUAGAGCAUGUGACUCUUGAUUUCAGGGUCAUGAGUUCAAGCCCCAUGUUGGGUG
rfam:Felis catus isolate Cinnamon breed Abyssinian chromosome C1, whole genome shotgun sequence.